rnacentral:tRNA from 1 species
GCGGGUGUUGCAUAGUGGUAAUGCCUGAGCCUUCCAAGCUCAUGACGCGAGUUCGAUUCUCGCCACCCGCUCCA